UACGUAGGCAGCGAGCGUUGUUCGGAAUUACUGGGCGUAAAGAGUGUGUAGGCGGUGCUCCCAGUCUGUUGUGAAAUCUCCCGGCUUAACUGGGAGGGUGCAGCGGAAACUAGAGUGCUAGAGGGUGGGAGAGGUAAGCGGAAUUCCUGGUGUAGCGGUGAAAUGCGUAGAUAUCGGGAGGAACACCAGUGGCUAAGGCGAUCAUCUGGGGUUGUUCUGACACUGAGGAGCGAAAGCUAGGGGAGCAAACGGG
rnacentral:rRNA from 1 species